GAGAAAAUGAUUUCUAACAACCAUUGGAUGUGAGCAGAGAAAAAUAAUAGAGGCACAGAGAUGAGUUUAAAUCAGUGAUACAUGAACUUUGGUGUAAGUCAAAAUUGCCAACUCUCCAGUGCUGAUCCAUGGGGCAUUAAUGAGGAGGAAAUCAAAGGCCAAACAGCUGAAUUACAUGAAAUGACAAAGGAAGAGACAAAAAUCAGACCAAUAAGGUGCUUGGCACACUCAAAGAAGAUAUAACUGAACAGGUCUCCGUUGCUUAGAUAAGAUGGCAUUGAGAAGGGGAAGCUGAACACUGUUCCCUGACUGCAUGGUCUUAGUACAUCAUUGACCUAACAUCAAAGAGACACCCUAUGAAUGUAAUGAAUGUGGGAAAGCCUUGAGCCAUCCGCCAGCUUUCAUUCAGCACCAGCGGAUUCAUACUGGAGAGAUUCUAUGAAUGUACUGAAUGUGGAAAGGCCUUCAACCAGAGCACACAUCUCACUGAACACCAGAGAAUGCAUACUGGAGAGAAACCCUAUGAUUGUAAAGAAUGUGGAAAAACCUUCAGCUGAAGCACACAACUUACUGAACAUCUGAAAAUUCAUUCUGGUGGAAAACUCUAUCAAGGUAACAAAUGCCCAAAAUGGUUUUGCUCUAGAACAUCACUAAUUGGACAUCAAAGGGCUCAUUCAGGAGGAAAAAGCCUGCCAAUGUAAUCAAUAUGGAAAUCAUUCAACCUAAGCUCACCUCUUAUAAAACAUAAAUGGACACAUAGAGGGAAGAAAUCUUAUCAAUGUAGUAAAUGUGAUGAUGUUUUUCUAUCAUAAUACAUCUUUAAUCUGAC
rnacentral:lncRNA from 1 species